rnacentral:rRNA from 1 species
GAUGAACGCUAGCGGCAGGCCUAACACACGCAAGUCGAGGGGUAGAAGGAGCUUGCUCCUUUGAGACCGGCGCACGGGUGCGUAACGCGUAUGCAAUCUACCUUUUACAGAGGGAUAGCCCAGAGAAAUCUGGAUUAAUACCUCAUAGUAUAUAUCAUUCGCAUGUUUGGUAUAUUAAAGUUCCAACGGUAAAAGAUGAGCAUGCGUCCCAUUAGUUAGUUGGUAAGGUAACGGCUUACCAAGACGAUGAUGGGUAGGGGUCCUGAGAGGGAGAUCCCCCACACGGGUACUGAGACGCGGACCAGACUCCUACGGGAGGCAGCAGUGAGGAAUAUUGGUCAAUGGACGCAAGUCUGAACCAGCCAUGCCGCGUGCAGGAAGACGGUCCUAUGGAUUGUAAACUGCUUUUGUACGGGAAGAAACACUCCUACGUGUAGGAGCCUGACGGUACCGUAAGAAUAAGGAUCGGCUAACUCCGCGCCAGCAGCCGCCGUAA